rnacentral:rRNA from 1 species
AUUGAACGCUGGCGGGAUGCCUAACACAUGCAAGUCGAACGAGUGGCGGACGGGUGAGUAAUGUCUGGGAAACUGCCCGGUGGAGGGGGAUAACUACUGGAAACGGUAGCUAAUACCGCAUACCAUCAGAUGUGCCCAGAUGGGAUUAGCUUGUUGGUGGGGUAACGGCUCACCAAGGCGACGAUCCGUAGCUGGUCUGAGAGGAUGACCAGCAACACUGGGACUGAGACACGGCCCAGACUCCUACGGGAGGCAGCAGUGGGGAAUUUUGGACAAUGGGGGCAAGCCUGAUGCAGCCAUGCCGCGUGUAUGAAGAAGGCCUUCGGGUUGUAAAGUACUUUCGGCAGGGAGGCGUUACCCGCAGAAUAAGCACCGGCUAACUCCGUGCCAGCAGCCGCGGUAAUAC